ensembl:lncRNA
AUGCUUACUCCCACCCCCACACACACCUCCAUCUGUGGCCCAGAGGCAACAUAUGGCCCAGAGGAUGGGGUGGGGUGUGGGAUUUGGGGUAGGUGCCUGGAUCAGCUGGGAGGCGGGGAAAUGGGAGGGAUGGGAGGGAUGGGAGGGGUGGGAGAUGGACUGGGCCGCACCAGAGCAGUGCCUGAGGCCUGGGUAGGCGUGGUGGAGGCCAUUGACCCUGGAGGAGUUCCCCAGGCCCCCAGUGCCCAGAUCAUCCAGUCCUAUGUCCUAUGGGAGCAUUUUCUGGAGGAUCACAGGCAGAAACCAGCACAGACUGCCUGCUGGGCUUUCAAGGAGCAGGUCCCAAAGCUGAGCACAUACGCCCUCUUCCUGCCAGCAGACAGCAGAGGUGCUUGGCGAAGCCCAUGGAGAAGGUGCCCGGCCCCCUCUGACUCAGCGCUUCCCCAGGCUCAGCCGGCUGCCAGCCGCCACCUGGACGAGCAAGGACAGCUCCCACUCCAGCUCUUCUGCCCUGCGGGCCACCCAGGCUCUCCUGGCCUCCAGUGCCAGGGCCUGGCUGCUCUGCAGGGCCCAGGGUCCGAGGUUCUUUCCACAGGGGACAUCUGCCUCUCCCUGGCGGGGUCUGUCUUCAUGCUGCUCAGAGGGGCAGAUCCUGGGAACCACCUGGAAAGGACACGAAUGGAGGAGGAGAUGGGACUCUGCAAGCCCUGAGCCUACCCUGUGACCCCCUGUCACUCUGAAAGACUCCAGGCAAUACCCAGCUGAACCCUGGGGAAGACGCCAACAGGCUUCGUCCAGGGACUGGCCUCAUGCUUAACAAAGAAAAACAGUGCCCCCUGCAUUUAUGUUGCCUCAUUCAUGCACAACAACAACUAAUUAUUUCAUUAUACAAUCAUCACGUUUAAUAAUUUGGAACAAUUAUUGAAUAAUUAAAUCUUUUCAUAGCCCCUCAGCUCAUCCUGUUUGUCCCUUCUUUAAUACCAGGGAUAUUAACACAAUGUCUCUUUAAGCAUGAAAAUCUCUAGUUCCUUUAUUCUCAUAAACACUGUCCCUUGAUCCCCUCAGUGCAGUGGUGCUGGGUGCCUGCACCUCGUCCCAUGGCUGCCCCCAGGAACUAGCCCUCCAGCUUACUUGGUCUCUUGGGAUGGGUCUGGCUGUGCUCAGGGGAGGAGUGACAGACACACUGGGUGGGGCACUCAGAGUGCCGUCUGCAUUUGGGCUUCUCUGGAGCCGCUGGAAGUGUCUGUGUGUUUUGUGGCUGUCACAUGACACACUGUGCCUUGUGUGCACACAAGAUAAAAUUUCCCUUGCUUGUUUGUGAGCAUAGAUGUCCUUUCUUGUGCUUUGGUCUUGAGAGGACAGCUUGACUGAGAUGAACCCAUUUUUUAGACCCCCCCAACACCCAGACUCAGGCAGGAGGUCUGUACUCAGGGAGCAUCUUGGCUCCUGGGGUGGCUGGCAGGAGUGACCUCCUUGGUUGUGAAGAGGGAGGCCUUGGUGAGCAGUGUUCCUGGGCACUGAAGCCUGGCACUGAAGCCUGGUGACAUAACCUUGCACCCCCUGCAACCCAUGGCAUUGCCUGUCUUGAGCAACUCAGCAAGAUGGGAACUAGGGGGACAUGGAGGAGGCACUGGGCUUGGGUGCAAAAGUCAAAGGAACACCAAAACCUCAGGUCAGGAGAAAGAGUAUUCUAACACAGCAUCAGGAAUCCAGUUGUCCACUCGAGGCCUGCAAGCUGGCAUUGCUUCAGUGACGAGGUCAGAGCAGACACAGCUGAGUUGUCACUGUGUCUCAUGCUUAUGCCCCUCCAGCUUUGCCAGGUCUACACCUCCAGGGACUGAGCUGGGAUGGGAGUGCAUCUCACAGAAAACUCUUUGUUGAGGCCACAGCU